CAAGUCGGACGGGAUUGGGACUUCGGUCCCAUGAGAGUGGCGCACGGGUGCGUAACACGUAUGUAACCUACCUUAGUCAGGGGGAUAGCCUCUCGAAAGAGAGAUUAAGACCGCAUAACAUCAGUUUACAGCAUUGUAUACUGAUCAAAUAUUUAUAGGAUUAAGAUGGGCAUGCGGAACAUUAGCUAGUUGGUAAGGUAAUGGCUUACCAAGGCUACGAUGUUUAGGGGAUCUGAGAGGAUGACCCCCCACACUGGUACUGAGACACGGACCAGACUCCUACGGGAGGCAGCAGUAAGGAAUAUUGGUCAAUGGGCGAAAGCCUGAACCAGCCAUGCCGCGUGCAGGAAGACUGCCUUACGGGUUGUAAACUGCUUUUGUACCAGAAUAAAUCUUUCUUCGUGAAGAAAGCUGAAUGUAUGGUAAGAAUAAGGAUCGGCUAACUCCGUGCCAGCAGCCGCGGU
rnacentral:rRNA from 1 species